UGGGGAAUAUUGGACAAUGGGCGUAAGCCUGAUCCAGCCAUGCCGCGUGAGUGAUGAAGGCCCUAGGGUUGUAAAGCUCUUUCACCGGUGAAGAUAAUGACGGUAACCGGAGAAGAAGCCCCGGCUAACUUCGUGCCAGCAGCCGCGGUAAUACGAAGGGGGCUAGCGUUGUUCGGAUUUACUGGGCGUAAAGCGCACGUAGGCGGACUAUUAAGUCAGGGGUGAAAUCCCGGGGCUCAACCCCGGAACUGCCUUUGAUACUGGUAGUCUUGAGUUCGAGAGAGGUGAGUGGAAUUCCGAGUGUAGAGGUGAAAUUCGUAGAUAUUCGGAGGAACACCAGUGGCGAAGGCGGCUCACUGGCUCGAUACUGACGCUGAGGUGCGAAAGCGUGGGGAGCAAACAGG
rnacentral:rRNA from 2 species